rnacentral:rRNA from 1 species
CUCGUAGGCGGUUCGUCGCGUCCGGUGUGAAAGUCCAUCGCUUAACGGUGGAUCUGCGCCGGGUACGGGCGGGCUGGAGUGCGGUAGGGGAGACUGGAAUUCCCGGUGUAACGGUGGAAUGUGUAGAUAUCGGGAAGAACACCAAUGGCGAAGGCAGGUCUCUGGGCCGUUACUGACGCUGAGGAGCGAAAGCGUGGGGAGCGAAG